rnacentral:rRNA from 1 species
UGGGGAAUAUUGCACAAUGGGCGAAAGCCUGAUGCAGCAACGCCGCGUGAGUGAUGAAGGCCUUCGGGUUGUAAAGCUCUGUCUUUUGGGACGAUAAUGACGGUACCAAAGGAGGAAGCCACGGCUAACUACGUGCCAGCAGCCGCGGUAAUACGUAGGUGGCAAGCGUUGUCCGGAUUUACUGGGCGUAAAGGAUGCGUAGGCGGAUUUUUAAGUGAGAUGUGAAAACCCUAAGCUUAACUUGGGGACUGCAUUUCAUACUGGAAAUCUAGAGUGCGGGAGGGGAGAAUGGAAUUCCUAGUGUAGCGGUGAAAUGCGUAGAGAUUAGGAAGAACACCAGUGGCGAAGGCGAUUCUCUGGACCGUAACUGACGCUGAGGCAUGAAAGCGUGGGUAGCAAACAGGAUUAGAUACCCUGGUAGUCCACGCCGUAAACGAUGAGUACUAGGUGUAGGAGGUAUCGACCCCUUCUGUGCCGCAGUUAACACAAUAAGUACUCCGCCUGGGAAGUACGAUCGCAAGAUUAAAAACUUAAAUGAAUUGACGGGGGUCAUAGCUGUUUCCU